rnacentral:misc_RNA from 1 species
AUUGAAGAAUGCUAGAAAAUUCCUUGAAAAAGGUGACAAAGUAAAAGCGACAGUUCGUUUCCGCGGACGUGCAAUUACGCAUAAGGAGCUAGGAAAAGAAGUUUUAGACAGAUUUUCUGAAGAAGUUAAAGAUAUUGCAACCAUUGAAUCGAAAGCAAAAAUGGAAGGCCGUAAUAUGUUUAUGAUGCUUGCUCCGAUAAAUGAAAAACAAUAAUUAUUGACGCUUACGAGGAGGAAAUCAACAUGCCAAAAAUGAAAACCCAUAAAGGUUCUCAA